rnacentral:lncRNA from 1 species
ACAACCAACUCGAAGGGAGCAUACCACAAAGCAACCAAUUCAAUACAUUUACAAAUGAUUCCUACCGUGGGAACCCAAAAUUGUGUGGGCUGCCAUUGUCAAGGAAAUGCAAUGAAGUUGGUCUUCCAAUGCCACCACCUCCAGGGGAAAAUGAAGAUUCAUGGUUAUAUGCUCUGUGUACUUGGAAAAUUGCGUUGAUAGGUUAUGCUAGUGGAUUAGUGGUUGGGCUAUGUAUUGGAUAUACAGUGCUGAAUGAGUUGGGAAACAAAUGGGUUAACAAGUUCAAAAAGUGUGGGAUAAGAAAUAGAAGAAGAUGUAGGUGACUCCAUCAGAAUUCUUGCUUCAAAAUUAGCUGGUAAGCGUUUGUCUUUCUAAUUUGAACAGAUAGUUGUUGAUUUAUAUAUAUGGGUUUUCAUAACCUCAUUUUUUGCUGUCUUUACUAAGUUCACUAUCAUAUCGUGCUUGUAAUUUGAUGUUACCAUUGAGCAAUGCAGGAGGUACUUGAAGCAGGACAUGGAAUGUACAGUUGUGAGGUUCAUGAAGAAUGUAGGCAAUGAUCCUAACAAGAUCAAUCCACUGGUUUGUAAUUUUGCUUUAUAUGCACUUUUUUCCUUUUGUAGUUUUCCACGAGUAUAAGUAAGUGUUUAUUCAUUUUGCAUCCAGGUCCCUGUGGAUUUGGGGGAUGCAAUGUUUCACUGCUACUGAAUUUCCAUGCUAAUAAUGAUAUUAUAAACAAGGAUAUGGCUGCCCAAGCUUUCUUUUAUAUGCAAUUUACUUUUACUUCAAUUAUUUUAUCUUCGGAAUAUUUGUACAGCUGAGGAGAUUUAAUGGCAUGAUGUUGAUGGAAGCCAUAUCUGGUGGACAUUGGAUGGAUUGUGUAAAGAGACGCAGAUGCUGCUACUCCCAUCCUUUGCUCUUCCAAACAGAUAUUAGCUUUAUAUUUUAUCAAUCACGUGUUGGGCUUUAGGACCGGGUGUAAAGGGUGGACCUGUUGGUCUGGGUUUUAGUUCAGCCGGACACUUAUUUUCAUACUAGUUUGUUUAUCCUUUCAAUGAUAGUUAUAUUAAUUUCAAAAAACUUUUGAAAUUGAAAUUAAUUUUUUCAAAGAAUCGAAAAAUUGUUAAUAAUAUAAGAUAUCUUGUCAGUCUCAUUUGUCUUUGAUAAUUUCAAUUAAAUCUAUAGAAAUUUUAAUGUGAAAAUUUAAAUAAGUUUCUUUCAAAGAAAUUGCUAAGAAGAGAAAAACUGUAAACAUUUUAUCAUCAAAAUUUCCGCUACUUGUGCCCAUCAAUCCAUCUUAACUACCUAAGAAACUUGCUAAACAUUGUUUUCAUGGGGUAAAAAAGAUUUAGAUAUUUGCAUGCAGUGCCAAAAGGCUGAGACUAAGUCCAAUAAUAUCUCAUUCCAUAAAUUUCUAUUGAUUCCAUACACUUUAAGUUCAUUGAAAAGUCAUCAAAGUUAUGAGAAAAUUUAGUUUUUGAGCCAUUAAUUUAUCUCAACCAGCUAAAAAAAUUCACCACAAUUCCAUUUUUUUUUAUUAGUUGACUAAAAUAAAAUUAGUGGUACAACAUUAUUUUGAUGCAGUAGUGAUCGGGCUUAGUCCAAAAUUAAAAAUAAUGUAUGGAAAGUACUAAUUUGUGUAUAAAUAAGUUGUAUGGAAACAAUCCUCCUUCACAGCCAGCAAACAUGAAAGCCAUAUCUGAUGGACAUUGUACUGAUUGUGUAAAGAGACAACUGCUGCUGCUUCUCCCACCUUUUGCUGACACAUUGGGUUUUUAUUUUAUCAAACACAUGUUGGGUUUUGGUACAGCCUCGCACUUAUUUUGUACCAAUCGAAGUUUCGCAAAAAUUGUGUGGUCAUCAUAAUUUCCACUCCAUAUAUUCCCAUCAAUCCAUCUAAACCAGCUAACACAAAUGCUUUAUUUUUGUGUUUAUAAUGACUUGACUUAAACAAAGUGGUAAACCAUUGUUUUCAUAUGGUAAGGAUCGGGCAAAGACUUAGACAUUUGCAUGCAAUGCCAAAUCUUGAAUUUAGAGUUGAGCCCAUAAUUUGGGGUGUUGGAUUUAAUUAAACCCGUUGGUAGAUCAUAACAUAUUUAUAAGUUGGAUACUACUUAAUAAUUAGGAUUUAGGAGUACUCAUUAUUGGGUAAAAAGACUUGAACAUUAGCUUGCAUGCCAAAGAAAAAAAACCUUAAUUUCUAAAACACAUUUCAUCUUAUCCUUCAGCAAAUUAUCUCCGUCUCAUUUAUUUUUGAUGAUUUUUUAUGAGUGUUUAAUCGAAUCAAGUAAAAUUUUUUUGAGUUAACUGAACUGAUGAGUCCUAUUUAUCAUCCUAACUUGAUUUGACAUUUUUUCGAAUUGAGUCGAGUGAAAUGAAAUUCGAGUCAAAUUGAAUCGAGUGAAAUUAUUCAAGUUCAAUUAAAAAAUUAAAUAUAUCAAAUUAAAAUCUUGUUAUAGGAUAAUUAAUUUAAUGUUAGGACACAUAAAUUUAAAACUAUAUACAUUUGAAAACUUUUUCAAAACAAAAUAAUAAUAAAAAUUCUUACAAUUGAAAAAAUAUAUAUAAUUUAAAAUUUUUAUAAAUAUUUUGAAUUUUAAAAAUUAUUUUGAAAUAUUAGCAGGUAAGCAUUAGUCUAAUUAAGCAUUAGUCUUUCUAAUUUGAAAAGAUAGUUGUUGAAAAAUAAAUUUCUCUAUCAUAUCCUACUUGUAGCAUUGACAUUCAUUUUCCAUAUUCUAUUGUAAUUUUAUGUUUCAUUUAGCAAUGCAGGACAUGGAAUAUCCAGUCAGGAGGUACGUUAUCUUUGAGGAAAAUGGUAAUUAGUUCCUUAUGACUACAAGCAUUUUUCAAUCACGUUUUAUGCUUUAGGUCCGGGUGUAAAGGGUGAACUCGUUGGUCCGGGUUUUAGUGCAGCUUGACACUUGUUUUUAUAUUAGUCUAUUUAUCCUUUCAAUGACAGUCUUAUUACAUUAAAAAUUAUCGUUCAAUUAAGCUUUGUAUGUAAUAAUAUGAUAAUAAUAAUUAAAAUAUAAUGAAAGAAUUUUUGUGUUACAAUCUAGUAUGUUUUUAUAUUAGUCUAUUUAUCCUUUCAAUGAUAGUCUUAUUACGUUAAAAAUUACUGUUCAAUUACACUUUGUAUGUAAUAAUAUGAUAAUAAUAAUUAAAAUAUAAUGAAAGAAUUUUUGUGUUACAAUCUAGUAUGUUUUCCAAUGUUAGCCAAAGUCCAACACUAUGUCACACUAUUAUUACAAUGUACACAUACUUUUUAGGGAAAUUUAUCCAAUGAAACAGAGCAUUAAACUAGUUUCCCAGAUGCAGGGAAGAAUUGGAAUGCCACAAUACUAUGAAAAUGAUUAAGAAAAAUACUAAUAACAAAAAAAAAAAAAUGGUAAUGGAAUCACAGUAAUUGAAAUGACGAAGAAGGGUGUUUACCUGGAUUAUCAGCGACGAAUCUAAUGGUUGCCCAUCCAUUCACAGGCACUCCAACAGUGUUCCUCACAGGUGGAUCAACAAGGCUGAAUUUAGAAAUAUCCUUUUUAGGAUCGAAGUUCUUUAAACGUUGUGCAAUGAUAUAGAAAUCGUAUACAUGAAGAUGAAUUGGAUGAUUCUCGGGUGUCACUAUGCUUUUGUCUUGGAGCACAAUUUUGUACCCUAAAAAUGUUGGUAUGGGUUAGAGGUGAGAGAGGUGACUGAGAUGAAGAUGAUGAUGUUGAUGCUGAUGCUGAUGUGGUUGGUGGUGGCAAUGAUGAAGGUGAGUGAAGAAUGUUCAGUGAUGGAGGAUGCCUCCAGAGUGCUGGGAGCCGAAAGUGUUAGAAGAAAAAUGGUGGAAAAAGAGCCCCCGGUUAGAAGCUUUGCUACAAUUAAAAUUGAGUUAAAUUGAAUUUACCACAAAAUGCUGAUUUGUAUCCCGAUAAAAUUUGGUGUCUACGUAAAAAAAAAAUUAAAAUAUAAUGAAAGAAAUGAUGCCUUGCAAUGUGGUGUGCUUUUUAGUGUUAGUAAACAAUCUAAAACACUAGAAAAUUGGAAGUGACUUUAGAUUUAAAAAAGAAAAAAAAUCCAUAUUUUAGAUUAAAAAAGAAAUUCCUUUACUUUUUUAUGAAUUGACUAAAAUGAAGUGGUAGAAACAUUAUUUUCAUGCAGUAGUGAUCGGGAUAAGAUUAAGAUUAAUAAUAUUUUAUUCUUAUACUAAGACUUAGAAAUUUGCUUGCAAUGCCAAAUAUUAAAACUAAGACUAAGGCCAACAAUAUAUUUUACUAUUAUUUAGUUAAAAGUUUUUGAAGUUUAGAGAUAAAUUUAGAAUGCAACAUAUAAUUUGGGGUGUUAAAUUUAAUUAAACCCUUUAAUAGAUCAUAGCAUAUUUAUAAGUUUGGUACUGCUUCAUAAAUUAGGACAUAAAAGUACUCAUUAAUAAAUUAAUUUCGUAUAUAAAUUAAUUCUUUUGGGUGUUAUACCAAAUUUAAUUUAAAAUUUUUAAUAGUAAUUUUUAUUAAAAAUUAAAUUAUGUAAGAAUAAUUAUAUAUAAUCUAUAUACCUAUAUAUAAAAAUUGGUUUCCACCUUCUUUCUUUUUAAUUUACAUUUUACAAAAAAAAUUAAAAUUAAAAUUUAGUUUCUUUAAUAUGCCUAAAUUUGAGAUUUAAUCUAUACUUUAUUCUUUAACAUAAUUUAGGCACUAUAUUUUUAUAAUGUAAUAGAUUAGUCCUUACACGUGGCACAUCCAACCAUUUUUGCUGUCCUUUCCUUUAUCCUUUUUUUUUUAAUUUUACAAUAAAAUGUUAAAUUUCAGUUUCAAUCCCUCUAAUAUGUCUAAAUUUGAGAUUUAAUCUAUAUACUUUAAUCUUUAACAUAAUUUGGGCCCUACAUCUUUAAAUGUUAUUAAUUAGUCCAAAUUAUUAAUAUGAUUAACUUUUCGGUGAAACAUUACGUGGUUAUUGAUAGUUUGCAUACAUAAGAGUCUUAGAGACUGACACAUUACUUUCCAUUUCUUUUAGGUUUGCAUCACUUUUUUGUAAGCUAUACUAAAACUUAAUAUUUAAUCUAUAUAUUUAAUUUUUGAUAUAAUUUAGUUCAUCUACUUUUAUAAUGUAAUUAGCUAGUCAAAAUAGUUAAUGUUGUUGGUUAUUUCUAUCAACAUGCUAAUGUCAAUUUUUCUUAAAAACAAUAUGCUUCUGAUAGGAUUUUUUUUAUCGCGGCGAUGUGAAUGAGUGUUGUUAAGGAAAAGUCUUUAUAAAAUAUUUUAAAAGUUAUUUUUAUUGUUACAUGACUACCAAUUGAUUUUUUUUUUAAAUUUCAAAAUAUCACCUCAGAGAAUUUAAUAGAAGAAUUUUAAUGAUAGUAUAAUUGAAUCAAAAAUUUUAAAUUUUAAAAGUAGAAAAUCAUAUUUCUAAAAAUAAAAAUAGAGAAGCUAAAUUCUAAAUGUACAAAAUAGAGAGAAUUAAAAUAUAUUUUAACCUUCAAAUAUUUUACUCUAUAAUUAUAUAUUUUUACUCUAUAAUUCUCACUUCCACUUUAUCUUUGUUAAUUUCCUACUUAUUUCUAUUUUUUAUUUUGCUUAUGAAUCUAAACAGAGAAAAAAAAAGGACAAAAAAAAGAAAGAAAUGAAUAGUAUGAAUUAAAAUUUGAGAUUUGAUCCCUAUUAAAAAUUAAAAAUUUAUUGUUUCUAUUUUUUUAAUUUAAAAAUCAUAGAUAAAUCCUUCUACACGUAAUUUAAAAUUUUUGUGCAUUCAAUCAUCAGAAUUUCCACUCCUUGUGUCCAUCGGUUCAUCUCAAAUCACCUAAGAAACUUGCUAUAAUUUGUCUUUAUAAUGACUUAAACAAAUCGGUUGAACAUUGAUUUCAUGCAGUAGUGGUCCACCAAGAAGACUUAGGGUAGUUUUGGAUAGGUGGUGUAUUUAUUUGCUGUUAGUCUAAAAACAACGGUGACGGUAAGAUUAGAUACUAUAAUGAUACUGUAACAUGAGAUAAAAAAUAAGCUAAACGCACCGCACCGCCCAUCCAAAUCCACCCUUAGACAUUAACAUGCAUGCCAAAACAAUUAAGACUAAGGCUAAUAAAAUCUCAUAUUAUCAUUUUCUUUGUUAGUCCAAAAUAAAAAAAUAUUAAAAAAAUUUAAGUUAGACAAUUAUUGAUAAUUUAAGGACUUAAUUGAAAUAUUUUAAAAUUUAGGUAUUAAUUUAUAAUUUAAUCCAUUAUUCAGGGGAAAAGAUCAGAACCUUGGAAUAUUAUUCAUAUAGAAUAAAGAUGCAGAAAAAAGAAUGGUCUUCAUUUCUUUCGUUCUUUAUCAUUUUAAUUAACUUUAAGGAAGCUUCAAAGUAAAAAUUUAAAUAUGUUUCUUCCCAAGAAAUUAUAUUAACAACUUAAUGUAAAUAAUGAUUUGAAUAUUGGAAUUAAAUAUUAAGUAAAAUAAUAAUGUUGUAUUGAAACUACAAAUUUAUGUAUAAAUGUGUUGCAUGAAAACCAUCCUCCUUCAUACCCAAUCAACAUGAAGACUCUUCAGUCCAUUGCUUCACUUUUUCUACCUUUCUUCUUUCUCUUCUCAUCCUUUCUUUCUCAAACUCAUCUCCUAAUGCAGUGCCUUAAUAAAUAAGUUGUAUGCCAAACACAAUCCUCCUUCACACCCAUCCAACAUGAACACUUUUCGUUUCCUUAUUUCACUAUUUCUCUUCUCAUGCUUCUUUCCUCCUCUCUUGUCUUUUUUACCUCUUCAAACUAAUCUCCCAAAUGCUGCAAUUGCAACAUCAUCUUUACUAUGCCCCUAAUUUUACUUUCUCUUCCAAAUUUGAGCUCUGUGAUGUCAACACUGAUUGUUGUUCUUGGGAAGGAGUCACUUGUGAUGCUUAUGGUCAUGUCGUUGGCAUUGAUCUUAGUUACAAAAACCUUUCCAGUAUCUUCCACUCAAUAUUCGAUCUCCAUCAUCUUCAACACCUGAAUCUUGUUGAAAAUAACUUUAAUACCACUUUGCAUUCUUAUGGGUUUGUGUUAAAGUUGGCCUGCAUGCAGCCAAGAAGCAGAGAAGCAACCCGAGCCAUGAAUGUUGCAGUUGAAGAUGGUGCUGCUGUUUUUGUUUAGUUUUGUUACUUUAAUUAACAUUUUGUAACUUAGUUAGAUUCAAACCAAGUUGUUAAUGUACUUGAUGUAAUUUGUCAAUGCUUUGAGCUGAUAAAUUAGCUUCACUAAGUGUGCAAGUUAUGUUUCAUUAGUUUCAAGGUUACUUAGUGGUAGUAGGUAAUGUUUAGGUAACAAUUUACUUAUUUUUAACUAGCUUAUGUCUGGUAUAUGUAUUGGCAUUAUGCCAUCUUUCAAUGUUAAUGAAAAUUCAUCAAAAUUCAUCAUAAAAUUCCCUUUUCUUGCUUUCUUUUGUCUUUCAAGCCUGGUUAUAUUUUGUUUGCUCAGCAAGUAUCGAGCCUUCAAGCUCAAGAAACUGCUAACUUCAUUCAUUUCACAUUCUUAGUUCCAACAAUUGGUAUCUAGAGCUCAUCUUCUAAGUGGACAUGUCAUUUUUCAUUCCUCAAAACUAUGUCUUCUUCAGGUUCUCUCCAGCUGCACCAACAGUCUUCAAUGGAGAAUGCUACCACAUUUGGGUAGUAAAGAUGAAAACCUACUUGCAGGCAUUCAACUUAUGGGAAGUGGUUAACUCGGAUGUUGAACCAGCACCUCUAAGAGUCAAUCCCACAGUGGCUCAGAUCAGGCAGCACAUAGAUGAAAGAACUAAGAGAUACAAGGCCAUGUCUUGCAUCCAAAACAGUGUGUCUGAUGUGAUUUUCACAAGUAUCAUGGUUUGUGAGUCACCAAAACUGGCCUGGGAUAGGCUGAAGGAGGAGUUUCAAGGGACUGAAAGAACGAGAUAGCAAAAAUUAGUGAAUUUGAUAAGGGACUUUGAAAUUUUGAAGAUGAAGGAAGAAGAAAUAGUGAGGCAAUAUUCAGAUAGAAUCAUGGUUGUUGUGAACAGCAUCAAAUUGCUUGGGGACCAGUUUAGUGAAGCAAGAAUUAUAUAGAAGGUUAUCUCAACCUUGCCUGAAAGAUAUGAGGCCAAGAUCUCAUCCCUUGAAGACUCGAGAGAUCUGAUUAGCAUCUCAUUGACUAAGCUGAUCAAUGCUCUUUAUGCUUAAGAGCAAAGAAGAGCCAUCAAACAAGAAGAGCAUAAAAAAUGUGCAUUCCAAGCUAAAAGUAGAUUUACCUCGAGCUCCUCUAGCUAUAAAGGGAAGAAGACCUAGCAAGAAUGCCUAAAAGAGAUGGAGUAAGAAGAAGAUAUCCACCUUGCCCACAUUACAAAAAGCUUAGUCAUCAGGGAGAAAACUGUUGGUUCAGGUUUGAUGUGCAGUGCAAAGUCUGCAAAAAGAUGGGUCAUGCUGAGAAAGUUUGCAGAAACAAAGGCAAGCUGAGACGAAACCAACCUCAAUAGCCAAGAGCUAAAUCUCAAAUGGCAGAAGAAGGUAAUGACUAAGAAGAGUAAGUCUUUGUUGUUUCAUGCUCAGCUGCCAAAAGAAAAGCCACAAAAGAAUGGCUGAUAGACAGUGGUUGCACAAACCACAUGACUCCUAAUGCUGCUAUUUUCAAGACCUUAGACAGAACCUUCAACACAAGGGUGAAAGUUGGUAAUGGACACUUCAUCAAAGUAGAAGGCAAAGGAGAUGUGCUGAUUAACACUCCUACAAGUAUCAAACUUGUUUCAAAUCUUUUGUUUGUGCUUGAAAUUGACAGAAAUCUACUUAGUAUAGCUCAGUUGCUAGAAAAGGACUAUUCAAUAGUGCUCAAAGGCAAAGAAUGCCUGAUCAGUGAUCCAUAUAGAUCGAAACUCAUGUCAGUGACCAUGGCUGACAGAAGUUUUGUUAUGGACUGGAACAAGGGUUCAGACAGUGCCUAUACAGCUGCUUUGGAUGAAUCCAAGCUGUGGCAUAAAAGGCUAGGCCAUGUCAACUACAAGUCACUGGCUCAGCUAACCAAAGAAGACUUGGUUGAAAACUUCUCCAAAUUAGUUGAGAAAGAAGAAGUGUAUGAAGUGUGUCAGCUAGGAAAGUGAGCUAGACUGCCAUUUCCUUUGAACAAGGCUAAGAGAGCCUCUGAAAAGUUGCAACUAGUCCACACUGAUGUGUGUGGCCAUAUGAAGACACAAUCUUUGAAUGACAGCAGGUAUUUUAUCCUUUUCAUUGAUGACUACUCAAGAUAUUAUUGGAUUUACUUCCUAAAGGACAAAUCAGAAGUAGCCUUAAUAUUCUGGAAGUUCAAGGCUGUAGUAGAAACAGAAACAGGUUACAAGCUAAAGACAUUAAGGUCAGAUAAUGGGACAGAGUAUACCUCAACUAUGUUUCAGGGCUUUUGUGAUGAAGCAAGCAUCAAGCACCAAUUCACCAACACCUACACACCUCAACAGGAUGGUGUUAGUGAAAGAAAGAAUAGAAGCUUGAUGGAUAGGGCAAGAUGUCUGUUGUUUGAGAGAAAUUUGCCCAAAACCUUGUGGGUUGAGGUAGUUAACACUGUUGUAUAUCUUCAAAAUAGGUUACCAACCAAGGCAUUGGUUCAUAAAACUCUAUUCGAGGCCUAGUUUAGGUUCAAACCAUCAGUUGCUUACCUGAGGGUCUUUGGAUGCAUAUGCUAUGCACAUGUCCCGGAAGUAAAAAGAGAUAAGUUGGCCAAGAAGGCUCAACCUGGCAUCCUGGUGGGCUAUAGCAGUGUCAAGAAAGGCUAUAGGGUCUUGGCCCCUUCAUCCAAUAAAGUUUUUGUGAGCAAAGAUGUAGUAUUUGAUGAGAAGUGAGGCCGGAACUGGGAUAAAAAUAAACCAGAGACUGCUACUGAAGACCUGGUGACAAAUCAAACUGAAGCUGAUCGAAAUGAUCCUAAAAUGGGCAUUGAUGAUGUGCCAGUUAGAGGAACCAGACCAUUGGCUAAAAUAUAUGAGAGGGCUGAUGUGGCUGCUAUUAAACCAAAUUGCUUUGAAGAGGCUGAAGCUCAACAAGGUUGGAAACAUGCAAUGCUUGAUGAAAUGAGCAUGAUUCACAAGAAUAAGACCUGGGAGCUCGUUGCAAGACCAGCCAACAAGAAGGUUAUAGGAGUGAAGUGGGUGUUUCGAGCCAAGCAUAAAGCUGAUGGAACUUUGAACAAGCUGAAAGCAAGAUUAGUAGUGAAGGGAUUCAGUCAAAGGUAUGGCAUUGAUUAACUUGAAACAUUUGCACCUGUGGCCAAGUUUGACACAAUUAGACUGCUGGUUGCCUUGGCUGCACUGAAUCAUUGGAAGAUUCAUCAACUCGAUGUAAAAUCUGCCUUCCUCAAUGGUUUUCUUGAUGAUGAGAUAUAUGUUGAACAAUCUGAAGGUUUCAUAAAAAAAUAUUAUAGUUUUUACAUAAUAUAAAUUUUAGAAUUUUUAUGAAUAUUUUGAUUUUAAAAAUUAUUUAAUUUUUUUUGUAAUUUUUGUUAAGAGAGAUUAAUUUGUUAAUUUUUAAAAUUGACAGGAAUCAAAGGAGUAUAUAUAUCAAUCUGUUGUUUGAAUUAUUUGAGUUAUUUAAAUUAUAAAAUUUAACUCAAAUCUCAAAUUAUUAAUAUUUUUAAUAAUAUAAAACAUUAAAAAUAUUAAAAUUAAAUAAAAAAAUUAAAUAAUAAUAUAGAAAUGAAAAUAUUUCUCAUGCUCUAAGAAAGUUUGAAAGCUGAAAUUUAAAUAUGUUUCUUUCAAAAGUGAAAAAUUCUAUAUAUUCUAUCAUCAAAAUUUCCACUCAUUGUGUCCAUCAAUUUAUAAGGUGACUUGACUUGUACACAUUGGUUGAACGUUGUUUUUGUGCAAUAAAAACUUGGACAUUUGCAUGCAAUGCCAAAGACUUAAGACUUAAAAGGUCUAUAAUAUUUCAUACUACCAUUUUUUCUGGUCCUAAAUUAAAGAUUUUAAAAAUUCCAAAUUAAAAUGUUACUCAUAAUUUGAGAACUUAAUUAAAGCAUUGUAAAGUUUAUGUGUCAAUUUAAAAUUCGAUGUAUAAUUUUGCGAUGUAAGGUGAAUUAACCCGUUUGAUAAAUCAUUACAUAUUUACAAGUUGGAUACUCAUUAACAAAUUGAUUUUAUAUUAUAAGUUAAAAUUUAUAUUUUUGGUGCUAUAACAAAAUUUACUUAAAAAAUUAAAUUGUAAUUUUUUUAUUUUAAAAAAAUUAAAUGAUGUAGAAAUAAUUAUAUAUAACAUAAAAAUGAUAAAAUUUACCUAAGUUUAAAAUAAUUUAAAGUUAAAAUAUUUGUAUCAUGGAUUUUUUUUUCUAAAAAGUCGAUACCUAAAAUAUAUAAUUUAAACUCAAAAUAUCGGUUGAAUUAUCAUCUUUGCGUAGUAAUGGUUCCAAUAGGGUUUAAAGUGCUAUAAUUUAAUCUUUUUUAAUGACUUAGAUUUAGACGAUUAUUUAUAUAGAGUAAGGAGUGGGCAAGAAAAUGACAACCUUGGCAUUAAUAAAUUAAUGAGAUCGAUAAAAUAUUAAAAUCUCGUUCUUGAAAAUUAAAAUUAACAAAAAAGAAAGACGUAAGGCAAAUUAAGUGUGGAUUUAACAACUUAUUUCUAAUACUAACAAUAAGUAAUUUAUGCAUCAUAAGUAAUUUAUGCAUCAUGACUAACAGCUUUAAAUAAUACUUGAUGGAGUCUUGAUUUGGCAAAAUGACUUAGAAAUUGCAUGCAAUGCCAAUCACUCAUAAACUGUAACGACCCAAAAUCCGUGGGCAGUGGAAAAGUAUACUAUCGGGCCUCUAUCUUAGUAAACCGAGUUAGUAAAUAAUUAUUAGGAGUAAGUAUGAGUUUAGUUGAGUGCUUAAUUAGGUAUUAAUUAGGUGAAUUUAGUCUAAUUAAGAAUAAUUAGAAAAAAGGAUCAAAUCGAAUAAAGAGUGAAAGUCUAAUUAUAGAUUAAAAGAAAGUAAAAAGGACUAAAAUGAAAUUAAGCCAUUUACAUGAAAAGAGGCGACAUAUAUGCAUUAAAUCCAAGAUUUUAUUUAUAAAUAUUAUAUGUAUAUAAUUGUUAUAAUAAUUAUUAUUUAUUCAAAUUGUAAUUUAUAUUAAUUAUAUUAUUAUAUUAUAGAAUAAAUUAAAAUUAAGACAAGUGUUUGGUGAUAAGAUGGUACAAGUGUAAUAAUAUAUAUAUAUACACUUGUAUUAUAAUUAUUAUUUACUUAAAAUUUAAGUAAAAGAUAUUAAUUAAUUAAAUAAUUAUAUUAUUAGAUUUUUAUUUGAUAAACAAAUUAAAUAGUGACAAUUGUAUGAUAUUGAUGGUGUACAAAUGUGAAUAAAUGAUUGAAUAUUUAAUAGAUAUUUAGAAUAAAAUAUAUAUAUAUUAUUAUAAUAUAAAGUAAAUAAAAGAAAAUAAAAUAAAAGAAAGCAAAUGAAAUAAAAAGAAACAAAAGAAGAACAUAAUAGAAACAGAGAAAGAGACGAAAACAGGGGAAGAAAAGGGAAAGAAAAGAAAAGGGGAAAAUUGGGAUUUUAAAGCUUCAAGUUUAAUUGGUUAGCUAAAUUUAGCAUUUUUCUCUUAAUUUUGAUGUUUUAGAAGCUUUAAAACAAAGUUUUGUUGAAAUUAAGUUGAGGUUUUGGAAGUUUAUAAGUUUAGAGAGCAUGGUUCAUGUUGGACAAUUUGUUAAAUUAGGGAUUUAAUUGAAUGAAUUUCAAGUUAGAAUUGAUAAAAGGAUUAAAUUGUGAAGUAAGUUAUAAUUUUAUAUUGUAGGGACUAAAUUGAGGAAAAUUCAAAAUUAGAAAAAUAUGCUGAAAUUUUAAUAAUUAAAUUUGAGUUUGGAUGAAAUUUGAAUAGAAAAAGAGUGUGAAUUGAAUUAGAAAAGUAAGUAAACUUAGUUAAGAUUAAAUUUAGAAUAAGGUAAGAAUUGAUUAAAAAAUUAAUUAAUUAUUUUAAUUUAAUGUUGUAAUUAAUAGCGAAAAUUAUUAUUAUUUUCGUAGCUAACAAAGAACCCGAGACAUCGGCAUCAAAAGGAAAGGAGAAAGCUAUCGAGGAUUAAAUCGGGAGAUUUACGAUUUGUAUUACUAUAAUUCAAAUUAUUUAUUACUUAUUAUUAAAUUAAAAUUAUUUGUAUGGUAAGUGAAUAAUAAGGUAAGUGACUUAUUUAUAUUGAAUUUGGAAAAUUAAAUUGAAAUGAGAAAAGUAUGUUUCGGUAAUAAAUUGUGUUUUGAAUAGUGAAUGGAAAAGUAUAAUUGAGACCGAUACUGAACUGAAUUAUGAAAUACUGAAUAUUGUUUGAAUACUGAAUUGAACUGUGAAAUUACGGAAGUAAUGAAUUAUUGCAAUACUGUGAAACUGAUUGAAAUAAGGAAUUUUAAUUAAUACUAAACUAAAAUGGAAAUUAUACUGAAAAGUGAAUUAAAUACCCUAUUAACUAGUCGGGCUAGUCGGAUAUAGUUGGCAUGCCAUAGGAUAUGGAAGAGUACGGGGUAUUUGCUGGCUUACUGAUCAGGCACUUAUUGUAAUAACCCGAUUCUAGGCCUAGUCGGAGCAGUGGUUUCGAGACCACAAAUCCGACGAGGGAAAAAUUAUUAUAUUUUUAUGGUCUACAAUUUCAAGAAAAAUUGUUGUAAAAAUUUCGUUCGAAAAUUUUGACGUUUGGGCACUCAAUUUAAUCAAAAGGACUAAAUUGUAAAAAGUGCAAAAGUUGAGUUCUACAUCUUAGAGGUGUCUAAUUGUUAUGAAAUUUUAAAUUGAAGGUCUUUAUGUGGUAACUAGACCAUUAGUUAGUUGAUGGACAAAAAUGAGCAUAGAAUUAGUGAAAAAGAUUUUUUUAAGUAAGGGCAUUUUAGUCAUUUGGUAAUUAAAUAGAAUUAAAUGGGUGAAAGAUGACAAAAUAUGCUCAUCUUCUUCAUGGUGAAUGAAAUCAGUAAGGGGGAAAGCCAUAUUUAGGGUUUUUAAGCUUCCAAGCUCCAUAAUCAAGAAAGAUGUGAAGACCACCUUAAACGGGAAAAAGAAAAGGUCGAGGAGUAAAUCACAAAAUCAAAAUAUUUUGUUCCGAGGUAAGUAUGCAUGUGAUUUAAUGUAUUAUUUUAAUGUUAUUUUAUAUAUAUUGCUGGGAUUUGAUUGAAAAUGGAACGAAUACUCGAUAUAGACUCUAAAAUGUGGUUAAAUUGGAAGGUAGUAAAGCGUUGAAAAUCAAAGUUUCCGGUUGAACACUCGGAAUAAGCCGGGAUACAUUGAACAUAAAAGGGGGUUUCUAAGUGUUGAUUCCCCAAAUCAUCGGUGGUUGCUAAGUGCUGAUUCCACCGUGUCUUCGAAUAUGAAAGGGGUUGCUAAGUGCUGAUUCCCCAAAUCAUCGUGCUGAUUCUCCAAAUCAUUGGUGGUUGCUAAGUGUUGAUUCCACCGUAACGGAUUGUAUAAGGGGUUGCUAAGUGCUGAUUUCCCGAAUCAUUGGUGGUUGCUAAGUGCUGAUUCCACCAUAUUUUUGAAUGUGCAAAAGGAGGUUGCUAAGUGCUGAUUCCCCCAAGGGGUUGCUAAGUGCUAAUUCCCCGACUCACUUGUGGUUGCUACGUGCUGAAUCCACCAAAUAACGGUUAAUAUUCUGAGUGUUCAACAGGAAAAUUGGAAGGGUGAUUGAACAUGUAAAUUAAAUAUGAUUGUGUGGGGAAUAUUGGGUUUGAUAUUUAAUCAACCCAUGUGUAAGAUGAAUGGAAGUAUCAAAACUACAAAAGAGCAAGUUGGUCACAAACAGCUUAAAACAACAACAGUUGGGUAACUUGGAAAAUUCACCAUAAAUGGUGGAAUUUGAAUUAGAGGUUGGGUAAUAUAUGAAAUUGAAGCUGAAUGAGUCUAUUUUCAUAUGAAAGAAUCAUAGCAAGCAAAAGAGUUAUAUAUUUUGAAAUAUUUAAAUUUUAGUGAGACAGGGCUGAAUUGCUUUUGAGAUCCCCUGUUCCAACUUUGGAAAAUCACCAAAAAUUGUAAAAAAAUAAUUGUGGGUUGAAAUUUAUAUACUUAAAUUUCUUCAUUAAGUCUAUUUUCUGUAGAAAUAAACAAGAACCUUAUAUGAAUUUUGCACAGAGAGUAUAGAUUUUAGUAAAGGGUGGUCAGAGCUGUCGAGCAGUGAAAAGGGGAAGGUUUGAAGAAUAAAAUGUACUAAUUUCCAAAACCAAAAAUUCUGAAAAUUUUAUGGUAGAAAGGUAUAUGAGUAUAGUUUCAGAUAAAAUUUACAGAACUCAAUUUGGAGCUCUGUAGCUCCAGAUAAAAAUAAAUUAGUGACUGUGAUGCAGAAAAACAGGUUGCUGGAAAUUGAGCAAACAAUGAAAUUUAUGAAUGAUUAAAAUUAUAUCACUUUGUAAUAUUAUGAGAAAUUUAUUAAUUUUUCAUGUGGUUACUUACUAAGCUAUAUGCUUACUCUUCUUUAUUUUUCUCUUGAUUAUAGUGAUAACAAUCUGCCUGAAGUUGGACGAAGUCAGAAAUCAUCCACACUAUCGUCAUCUCUCGGGGUAUUUUGUAAUCAAUACUUUUGAAACAUGGCAUGUAUAGAUGACUUAAUUUAAUAUGAUAUAAAUAUGUUUGUAAAAUAUUGUUCGGUUAAAAAUGUUGGUGUUUAUUAUUGAAUAAAUUGUGUAUGCAUAUAUAAUACUGUAAUUGGUUGAAAUAUUAAGAUCGUUUGAAAUUGUUCUUUGAAAAUUUGCAGGAGGUUUUAUGUAAAAAUAAGCAGAAAUGCUGCCGAAAUUUUACAAAAAAAAAUAGUAAUACCUCGUGCUCUAUUCCAUCAAGGAAUACGGGUAAGGGGUGUUUCACUUAUGUGCCGACUACUGUUACUGUUACCGAUUCGGCACUUUGUGUGUCGAAUACUGUUACCAUUACUGUUACCGAUUCGGCACUUUGUGUGUCGAAUAUUGCUACUGUUACUGGUUACUGUUUAUUAGUGUGUUUGGUUGGAAUCCGUGUAUCCGCCGAGUCCGAGUUAAGUUAAUAGGGAUAAAUGAAAUAAAUUUACUGAUAAAACCAAUCUCGAAUGAUAUAGUAUAUGUGAAAAAUGAAAAUUGAAAUAAAGAAAUAAGAAUGAUAUUUAUAUAUAAGAUUAAUUGAUAAUAUAAAAAGAUCGAAUUGUUUAUUAGUAGUGAUGAUUGUAAUGAAAAAGUAUGUGUGUGAUUUAAUGUAUUUAAUUGUAAAUUGAAUUAUAGUGAUACCACUGAGUAUGAAAUACUCAGCGUACAGUUGUUUCUGUGCGCAGGUCGAUAGAAGUCAAAGGUUCCGUUUCAGCAUCCGAAGCCAGACCCGACUUCAGCAAAUUUUGGUGAUGAAUAUUUUCUUUGGUAAUGUGGCAUGUACAUAGGAUGGGUAUAAAAGUUAUUAUGUUUUGAAUAUAAAUGGUUAAAAAUGUUAGAAUUAUAAGUCUAAGAAUUAUAAUGAAAGAAGUUUAUCCAUUUCAAUUUAAUUAGUACGUUGAUAAAUUUAAAUUGAUAUUAUAUUGAUUGAGUUUGGUUAGAAGGUAUUUAGAAUAGAAUGAGAAUGUGAAAUGAAUUGGUUGAAUUGGUUAUGUUUGGAAAUGAUACAGUUUUAAUUGCAGGAGGUUUUAUGUAAAAAUAAGCAGAAGUGCUGUCGAAAUUUAUAAUAAUAAAAAAAAGAAAAAAAAAGAGAAAAAUUCGGAGUACUUAAACGAGUCCCAUUCAUUAUUAAUACAUGUUUUAGCCUUCGAAAGUUCAUUACAAGGACUUAGUUAUUCAAUUAUAUUACAAAUGUUAUUUUAUUUAUAAAUUAUUCGUAAGUUGUCUGAUAUGUUCGGUAAUGCCUCGUAAUCCUGUUCCGGUGACGGUUCGGGGUUAGAGGGUGUUACAUAAACAUUUUUCUAUGGAAAAUACACACUUGUGUAUAAAUAAGUCGUAUGCCAAACACAAUCCUCCUUCACACCCACCCAACAUGAACACUCUUCAUUCCCUUAUUUCACUCUUUCUCUUCUCAUGCUUCCUUCCUCUUCUCUUGUCUUUUUCACCUCCUCAAACUCAUCUCCCAAUGCAAUGCCUUGAUGACCAGAGAUCUCCUCUGCUGCAAUUGCAACAUCAUCUUUACUAUGCCCCUCAUUUUACUUUCUCUUCCAAAUUUGAGCUUUGGCACCCCAACACUGAUUGUUGCUCUUGGGAAGGAGUCACUUGUGAUGCUUAUGGUCAUGUCGUUGGCAUUGAUCUUAGUUACAAAAACCUUUCAGGCAGCUUUCACCCCAUAUUCAAUCUCCAUCGUCUUCAACGCCUUAAUCUUGUUGGAAACAACUUUAAUACCACUCUGUUUUCGUAUGGGUUUGAUAAACUCCAAAAUCUAACUCAUCUCAAUCUUUCAAGCUCAUGUUUCCAUGGCCAAAUUCCAGUGGAGAUCUCAUUCUUAAAAAAUUUAGUCUCUCUUGAUCUAUCCAAUCAAGAUUCUUGUUAUUUGAGAUAUUACAAAGUUCUUGUUGAAAGCUGGACUGCAAAGCAACAUGUGGCCAGCAGCAUGGUUGGCUGUCGAGCUUGGUGAUAAUGCUUGGUGUGCAAGACUGAAGCUGAACCAGAUGAAGCAAUCAACUUUGGAUGUUUUGUUCUUUUGUAAUUUAGUUUAGUUCAACUUUAACUAGUUUCCAAAGUUAGUUGGAUUAAGUUUGUGAUUGGAUUGAUGAUGUAAAAGCUGGUAUGUCAGCUUAUUUUGUAUUUGACUUAAGCUUGUAUUAGUUUAGUUUAAGUGGGAGCAGUUAUGUCAUUAGGUAACUGUCAAAUGAAUCAAAUUUGUAACUCUUUUAUAUAUUCAAAUUUUGAAUGAAAAAAAAAGGUGAAUGUUCAGUUACAAUUUGCUGAGUAUUCAAUUUUGUUCACUGUUUUUUGCUUUGCUUUGAUUUCUUUUGCUUCGAUACUUCUUGCUUCAGUUUUGCAAAUUCUGUUUUGCAACUUUGUUUUCUUUUUGCUGCUGCCAUUGUUCCAACAAAUGGUAUCAUGAGCCCGAGUCUUUGAGGGGCCUUUGUAUGCAAUCUGCAGCCACUUCAAUUAAAGAAUCCAAACUUCAAGACAUUAAUCAAGAAUUUGAGGUUUCUCACAGAGCUUUAUUUGGAUAGUGUGGACAUUUCAACUCAAAGUGCUAAAUGGUGUGAAACCACAUCUCUUAUACUUCCAAACCUGCAUGUGUUGAGUCUGUCAAGCUGUAGUUUGAAAGGUCCAUUAUGUUCUUCACUCUCAAGACUCUCUUUUCUUUCCAAACUUAUCCUUGAUUGGAACCCAAUCUCUUAUUUACCUCCCAAUUUCUUGGAAAUUUCCUCUCGUUUGGUUUCUCUCAGUUUGAGGAACUGCAAUUUGAGUGGCCAUUUUCCAAUUGAAAAUCUCUUAUCGCCAAAAAUUCAAAGCAUUGACAUUUCAUUCAACUUCCAACUUAUGGGUUAGUUGCCAGAAUUUCCAGCAAACAAUGCAUUAUUGAGUCUGUCACUUUUUGAGACAAAUUUCAGUGGAAAACUACCCCAAUCAAUUGGUAAUCUCAAGUUCUUGACUAAUUUAGAGCUUGAUGAUUGCAAUUUUUUUGGACCCAUUCCAUCGUCAAUUGCAAAUCUUAGUCACCUGGUCAACCUAGAUCUGGGAGGGAACAAGCUUUCUGGAUCAAUACAUUCUUCUUUAUUUACUCUUCCAUCGUUGAAGACCUUGUAUCUUGGAGAAAAUCAAUUGGUUGGGAAAAUUGACGAGUUCCCCAAUGCAUCUUCUUCUUUGAUUCAAGAAUUAAGUAUAGGAAAUAAUUAUUUAAGAGGAGCAAUCCCAAAGUCAAUUCUUCAACUCCCAAGGCUUGAAUGGCUUUAUAUCGAAAGCAAUAGCUUUAGUUCUAUGAAGCUUGACAUGUUUGUCCAAGUCAACAACUUAAGGACUCUCUGGCUAAACAAUAUAAGCUUGUUAAUUGAAAGCGACAACAGAAGUCUUACUUUUCCCAAUUAGAGAGUCUAAGCCUAUGGUCAUGCAACCUUACUGAAUUUCCAGAAUUCAUUAAAAGGCAAGACAAGUUGGUUGACUUAGAUCUUUCUAACAAUCAUAUCCAUGGUGUUGUGCCUAAUUGGUUGUGGAAGAGCAGUCUUUCAUCCUUACACCUUCCUUUCAAUGUGAUUGAUUUUCCAAAACAGCUUCCCUUAAAUGAUGCAAACUUCUCAUUUCCAAUGUUGACAGAAUUGGAUUUGAGAUCCUGUAACAUAAGUGCGUUUCCAGAGUUCUUAAAGAGUGUUGGAACAAAGAGACAAUAACAGGCUGUUUGUAUCUUGCUUGAAUAGCAAGCCUCGAGCCUUGUUGAAGAAACAAACUCAGAAGCAAAACAGAAAAUGAAACUAGCAGGCGAAUAACAGAAAAGAGAGAAGAAGAAUGAAUGAAAAAUGAGCUGAUAUUUUUUUCAUUAACUCAAAACAAGGCAUUAAGCCAUUACAUAUUUCAGUCAACAAGUAAAACAAACAAGUAAUCACCUAAUCAACUACCUAACUCCACUAAUUUGCAUUGAAACUUACAAGAUUAGCUUGUACAACUUGCAUUGCUGACUUUUCAGUCAAUCAAUAUCAAAACAUUUACCUACUUAGUUCAACAUGAACUAGAUUACAAAACAAUCAAAAUGAAACCAAAACAGCAAGUGGAUUGGCAGCUUCAAACUUCAGUUGCUGCACACAAUGGCACCACUGUUUGCUGCUAUUUCUUCGAGCAUGACCACCUUUGCAUGUCGUGCAUGGCCACCUUUGCAUGGGAACUAAACUUAACAAAGAGUCUAGAAAAUUUAAUAUUUCUCGACCUUUCAAUUAAUAAAAUAAGUGGUGCAAUACCAAACUGGGUGUGGAAGAAAAGUUUGCGGUCUCUGUAUCUUGCUAAUAACCAUCUCUCAUCUUUGGACCAACUUUUACCCAAUCAGAGUUCAACUUCUUCACAAACCUCCUCGACUAGACCUAUUUGCAAUUUGAGUCAACUUAGAAAUUUCGAUGCAUCUCAUAACAAUUUGAGCGGCACGAUUCCAAAUUGCUUAGGCAAAAUGAAUGAUCUCCUAUUGUUGGAUCUGCAAGGAAAUAACUUCAGUGGAAUGUUACCAAAAUUUUCAAAAGCAACCCACUUAUAUAUUCUCAAAGUUAGUGAGAAUAGAUUGGAAGGGAAGUUGCCCAGAUCAUUAGCUGAAUACACUCAGCUUGAAGUUUUGGACGUGGGAAACAACAAGAUGAAUGAUACAUUCCCUUUUUGGUUGGAGAAAUUGCCUUACUUGACGGUUCUAAUAUUGCGGGAAAACAGAUUUUAUGGUCAAAUUAAACAUUUCAAACAUAAAUCUGUUUUCCCAACUUUGGAUGUAUUGGACAUUGCUUCAAACCAGUUUUCUGGUGAACUAUCCAUUGAUUUCCUUCAACCCACUCGACUAAGGUCACUCAAAAUAGGUGGGAAUAAAUUGGAAGGGAAGCUGUCGAGAUCAUUAGCCAAUUGCACAGCACUUGAGGUUCUGGACCUUGGAAAUAAUAUGGUUCAUGAUACAUUCCCAUUUUGGUUAGAGAAGCUGCCUUCCUUGAAGGUUGUCAUUUUGCGAGCAAACAAAUUCUACGGACCAAUUACAAAAUUCAACACAGAACGUGGGUUUCCAAAGCUACGCAUAUUGGACAUUGCUUCCAACAAUUUUUCAGGCGACUUGUCCAUUGAAUUUUUGCAAAGCUUGAAGGCAAUGAUGUAGUUAACAAAUGAGGACAAAGCUAAGCUGGAUUACAUUGGAGAGAAUUAUUAUCAAGAUUCAGUGACAAUUUUCAACAAAGGGAUUGAGCUGUUUUACGAGAAAAUCUUAAACACUCUUACUUGUUUGACCUUUCCAACAAUAGUUUCCAUGGGAGAAUACCAGAAGAAAUACAAAUGCUGAGGUCACUCAAAGUGCUAAACUUGUCCUAUAAUAGCUUGUCCGGUGAAAUCCCAGUAGCAGUUCAAAACCUAAAAGAUCUGGAGUCUUUGGAUCUCUCACAGAAUGAGCUAUCAGGGAAGAUUCCUCCACAGCUUACAACUCUAACUUUCCUAGAGGCACUGAACUUGUCUUACAACCCACUUGAAGGGAGCAUACCGCAAGGCAACCAAUUCAGUACAUUUUCAAAUGAUUCUUAUCGUGGGAAUCCAAAAUUAUGCGGUCAACCAUUGUCCAAGAAAUGCAAUGAAGACGGUCUUCCAGUGCCACCGCCUCCAGGGGAAGAGGAACAGUCAUGGUUAUAUGCUAUAUCAACUUGGAAAAUUGUUUUGAUAGGUUAUGGUAGUGGUUUGGUCGCUGGGCUAUGUAUCGGAUAUACAGUGUUGAAUGAGUUGGGAAACAAAUGGGUUGACAAGUUCAAAAAACAUGGGAAAAGAAACAGAAGAAGAUCUAGGUGACUGUGUCAGACUUCAUAUAUUAAAGUCAACAGGUAAACAUUUCCUUUUGAAACUAUAGUCUUUAUAUUUUGAAAAGAUUGAUGACGUUUCAAACUAAUUUUGGAUCAUAUAUACAACAUUACAAUUCCUUAAAUUAAGCAGCAGGAGUGGUGACACAGUGAUUUUGUUUUUCCUAUGCAAUAUUCCCAUAUUUGCAUGCUUAUGAGAAGUUAUAUUCUUGGUGGUUUGACUUGUAUUUCUUAUUUUGUCACAGGGAAAUGACCUCUGUCCUUAUAAGCUUCAAGUCAUUGCAUGUCAUUGGUGGCAAUGAAUCAUUUUAAGUAGAAAACCACGCAAAGUAUGAUAAUUUUUGUUUGGGUUUUUGUGCUAUAUAUUUUAUCAAACACAUGUUGGGCUUUAGGCUCGGGUGUAAUGGGUAGAUCUAUUGGUCCGGGUUUUAGUGCAGUCUGACAUUUGUUUUGUACAAAUAAUUUAUUUAUCUUUUAAUAACAGUUUUAUUACUUUAAAAAUAAGUAAAUAAAAUAUAAUGAAAAAUUAGAUAUCUUAAAAAUAUGGUCCGUUUUCCGGAGUUUACAAACAAUGUAAAACACUAUAAAUAUGAUAGCUUUUUCAAAUGAUUCUCCCAUUAUGAAACAUUUAACAGAAUUUGCAUAAAUGAAAUAUUUAUUUACAAGAAAUAAAAAUUAGCCAUGUUAUGCAUAUGAAAAACGUGAUAAUUUGCAAGUGAAAUGAGAAGCUUCAUAUUCUAAUUUUCAGGCCAACAGUCUGAGAAGAAAGCACAGAUUGGCAGAAUAAAGUUGAGAAAAGGAGAAGCAUAUGGCGAAAAGGUUAAUCCCAAAACCGAUAUGCUGCACUCGACGUUCUCUUACAUGUAGUUUGUAUCAUACGCGGAUGGUUGGAUCUUAUUAUUUUAGGAUUUAGUUUACCCAACCGUGAACUUCUGCUUUAAAUACAAUAAUCCUAUUCUAAAUUGGUAUUGGGAUUAGUCAAUUUAUUCUUUCAAUGAUAGUUUUAUUACUUUAAAAAAAUACCCUUCAAUUAAACAUUGUAUGUAAUAAUAUGAUAAUAAUAAUUAAAAUAUAAUGAAAGAAAUUAUGUCUUACAGUCUAGUAAAGGCCAACAAUGUGUCACACUAUCAUUACAAUGUACACAUACUUUGUAGAGAAAUUUAUCCAAUGAAACAGAGGAUGAAACCAGUUUCCCAGAUGCAGGGAAGAAUUGGUAUGCUACAAUAUUACUAAGAAAAAUACUAAUAACAAAAAAAUGGUAAUGGAAUCACCGUUGUUAGUUUUUAGUGUUUUUUUUUGAGGUAUUAUAUAUUUGUAUUUGACCUAUGUUUAUAAUGGUGACCAGACCUGUUAUUUAUAUUUUUGAGAUCCUAGGCGAAACAAUAAAUUAGGGUCUUGUUUAAAAAAUAUUAAAUGUAAUACAAUAAAACAAAAAAAAUAAGCCCUUUUAUUUUAUAUUUUUUUUUGCCUGCAAUAAAUCGAAAGACUUAAAAAGUUAAAAAUUUCAUGUUAAAAACUGGAAAAAGAAACUUUUUGAGCCCUAAACGGUCACACUCCAAAACUACUCUAAAGUCGGGUUGAAAACAACCCAACAAAUUCCAAUCAAAUCCCAAGCUCCAAAAUUGGAAUUAACAAAUGGAAAAACAAAAAGACGUUGGUAAAGCAAAGUAAGUGUGAAAGAUAUGAAGAGUAAGAAGAGAGUAUGAAAAUUUUGAAAAUUGUAAAUUAGGAUGACUUUAAAAUAUGGGGAAGAUUCAUGGGUUUGAAAUCAAUGAUUUUGCAGUUUCUCUUUGUUGAUUUGGUGGAUGUUUCCCACUACUUUUGCUUUUAAUGCUUCCCAUUAUAUACUUGGAAAUUGGGAUUACUUUUGCCACUCAUUUCUCAUGUUUGUUUGGCCAAUAAAGAUUAUUUGCAUAAAGCAACAAUGGGGCAAUAGGCUGCAAUAUUUCCACAUGCCUCUCAAACAUUUUACUCCAAUUUUAUGGAUUUUUUAUAUUUUUUUAAAAAAUUAACAUAUUUUUCUACCUUUCUUCUUUCUCUUCUCAUCCUCUCUUUCUCAAUCUCACCUCCCCGAAAAGAGCAAUGAAAGAAGCGACAAAAGGGUCCUUGGCUGUUUGUGAUGAUGCACUUACAUAUACUCACUUCUAUACGAUUCAUGUAAAUCCUUUCUAUAACUUAUUUCCUUGGAAGCAUUCCUCUGUUAGAGCAACUAAUCCAAAUUCUUAAAUCCAGAUACUGAAUUUUUUUUUUCUUUUCUCUCGAUUUUGUAGCAGGGGCCAAACUCCCCAAUGUCUUGGCUACCAAUCUUCUUUAAUUUAAUCGAACUCAUUUAUGGUAAGGAUGAGUUUUGGAAUGCUCUAUGAAUAUUGUGAGUUGAACAUGAGUAGCAUACUUGACAUGCAAAAUCUAAUAUCAAGAAUCUCCCUUGUGAGAUUCAUUUUUGCUUCAAUUCACAGCCAUUUGGGGUAUGUAAUUUGUCUCUAGCACUGAACUUUCAUGCCAAUAAUGCUAUAUUAUAAACAAGGGUCAUGGCUUUUCCAAGCCUUCUUUAAUAUGAAUUUACUCUUUAGUUCAGAAUUUUAUUUUCAAAUUAUUUUUGUGCAGCUUGGAAGAUAAUAUGAUGAGUUAGUGUUGAUGAAAGCCACAUUUAACAGAGUGAUUCUGCAAAGAGACACCACUGCUAGAUGUGCCUCUUUGAAACGGGACAAGCUCAAGCAAAGAUCGUUAACUUUAUCUUUGAAAACAAUGGUAAAAGUUUCUAACUAAUUAUCUUUUCCUUGACAUCUUCUUUAAUCAUGAUUGAAUUAAGUUUAAGCAUAUGAAAGACAUGACUGUUGGUAGAUAAAUGAGAAGCUUCAUAUUCUAAUUUUCAGGCUAAUGGUCUAAGAAGACAGUAAGGCGUGUUGAUUGCAGUUUGUUAUCUAUUCUAUGGAAAAGAAAACGUGCAUUGCCAACAUAAAGUACAGAAAGGAUAUGCAUAAGGUGCAAAGGCUUAUCACCGAAGCAAGUCUGCAUCUUGUUUAAGGUGGCUCAUGUUCUCUUACAUGUAAUUUGCAUGAAAUCGUAUUAUCUUAGGAUUAUACUGGAGUGCCACCAGCAGUUGACCUCACUGGCAUGUGAGACACUGUUAAGAAUCUUGACAAUGAUCUUAACAAGAUUAAUCCACUAGUUUGUAAUUUUCCCUCUAUAUUUUACCAGGAGUAUAUAACUUAUUUACUUCUAUAUCUUGCAAUUUAUGCAGCCCCUGAGCAUGGUAUAGCUUGGUGUUGGUAGACACAUCGUCCAAGAACUUACAAGAUGUUGAGAAAGCAUAGUGUCGGCAAAAUUUUUGAGUUUUAUGGUUAAGUCUAUGAUCAUAAAUCUUAACAACAGAAUGAUUUUACUAUAAACAAUUUCAGGUUUAUAGGACUUUAUCAUCAAUGUAACUAUUUUUAAUGUGGUUAUAGGAGAGGGUUUGGCUGAAUUAUCAUUAGCUAAUCAUGGUCGAGCCAUUAGGACUAAUAGCUUCAUCAUCAUCCUUUGCUGUGAUAUGACUCUGGCUUGAAUUUAAAGAAAAUAUGAAGUACUUAUAAUGAGAGAGAAAAUUACUUAGCUAAGAGAAGAAAUCAUUUACUUCAACCAAAUUAUCCCCGGUAGAAAUAAAAGCCAAAAGAAUUAAAUUCAUUCAAAACAAAAAUUGUAGGGAUUAGUUUUAUAAUUUUACUUAAAUUUUCAUUUCAACAGGAGGACGCAGGUUCGAGUACAUUGAAGUGCAUUAUCCUCUUAUUUAUGGGUUGGGGAGAGACUAUGGGUAGUUUUAAGGCAUUGUAUCAAAAUAAUAGAUUUAAUCAAAACCUAUAAUGUAAAAAGUUGCUACUAAAAAGUUUAAAAAAUAGAAUUUUUAGUUUCCUUUUGUUUAUUUAUUUAUUUUUUUCAUAAUAUCUUUUAUGUAUAUUUGAAGUGUUUUGGGUUUGAUUUUUAAUCAUUAUAAUCAAAAACCCAAUUUUGUACUAAUAAAUCACACCAUUGUUAGUUUUUAGUGUUAUCUUUUGAGGUAUUAUAUAUUUGUAUUUGACCUAUGUUUAUAAUGGUGAUCAGACCCGUUUUUGAUAUUUUUGAGACCCUAGGCGAAACAAUAAAUCAAGGUUUUGUUUAAAAAAUUAUUAAAUGUAAUACAAAAAUUAAAAAAAUUGAGCCUUUUUUAUUUUAUAUUUUUUCUGCCUGCAAUAAAUCGAAAGACUAAAAAAGUUAAAAAAAUUCACUUUAAAAAUAAAUAAAAAAAAAAACUUUUUGAGUUCUGGACGGCCACACUCUCAAACUACCUUAAAGUCAGGUUGACGGUGACUAGAAAACAACCCAACAAAUUCCAAUCAAAUCCCAAGCUCCAAAAUUGGAAUUAACAAAUAGAAAAACAAAAAGACGUUGGUAAAGCAAAGUAAGUGUGAAAGAUAUGAAGAGUAAGAAGAGAGUAUGAAAAAUUUGAAAAUUGUAAAUUAGGAUGACUUUAAAAUAUGGGGAAGAUUCAUGGGUUUGAAAUCAAUGAUUUUGCAGUUUCUCUUUGUUGAUUUGGUGGAUGUUUCCCACUACUUUUGCUUUUAAUGCUUCCCAUUAUAUACUUGGAAAUUGGGAUUACUUUUCCCACUCAUUUCUCAUGUUUGUUUGGCCAAUAAAAGAUUAAUUGCAUAAAGCAACAAUAGGGCAAUAGGCUGCAAUAUUUCCACAUGCCUCUCAAACAUUUUACUCCAAUUUUAUGUUUUUUUUUAAAUUAACAUAUUUUUAAAUUUUUAAAUUUGAUAUUUGAUCCAUAUACUUUAAAAGUUAAAAUUUCAAUUCUUCUACUUUUUUAAUUUAAAAAUCAUAAUCAAACCAUUAUCGUCGUUGAUAGUUUUUGUCAAAAUUUGUCAAUUUAAUAUGUUUAUUUCUAUCAAUCAUAUGUCACGUCAUAAGAUGACACGUUAAUCAAAAUUUUAAGUUAACAAGUUUUAUAAAAAAUACUUGCGAUUUAAUGAUUGCACUGAGAUUUUUAACUUUCUAACUUUUUAAAUAUAUGAACUAAAUCUUAAAAUAUUUAAUAAUAGAAAAUAUAAAAAAUAUUAAAAUUAAAUAAUAAUAUAGAAAUGAAAUUUUUUCUUCAAAUUUCUCAUCCAAAUACAGUCUAGAAAAGUUUUAAAGAUGAAAUUUAAAUAUAUGUUUGUUUCAAAAGUGGAAAAUUCUAUAUAUUGGAUCAUCAAAAUUUUCACUUAUUGUGUCCAUCAAUCUAGCUAAGACUUAACUUGUACACAAUAGUUCAACGUUGUUUUUGUCCAUUAUUAAUUACUUGGACAUUUGCAUACAAUGCCAAAUACUUAAUACUUAAGGCCUAUAAUAUUUCCACACUAUCAUUUUUGGUCCAAAAUUAAAGAUAUUAAAAUUUUCAAUUUAAACCAUUAUGAUUUAAAACUCGAUGUAUAAUUUUGAGAUAUAAAGUGAUUUAAUUCUUUGAUAAAUUAUAACAUAUUUACAAAUUCGAUACUCAUUAACAAAUUAAUUUUACAUUAUAAGUUAAAUUAUUUUAUAAUUUUUGUUGAGAGAGAUCAAUUUGUUAAUUUUUAAAAUUAACAGGGACUAAAGGAGUAUGUACAUCAAUCUGUUGUUUGAAUUAUUCGAGUUUUUCAUUAUAAAAUUUAACUUGAAACUCGAAUUGUAAACAUUUUUAAUAAAUAUAAAACAUAAAAAAUAUUAAAAUAAAAUAAUAAUUAAAUAAUGAUAUAGAAAUGAAAAUAUUUCUCCAAAUUUCUCACCCAUAUAUGCUCUAAGGAAGUUUCAAAGCUGAAAUUUAAAUAUGUUUCUUUCAAAAGUGAAAAAUUCUACAUAUUUUAUUAUAAAAAAAAUUCACUCAUUGUGUCUAUCAAUCUAUAAUGUGACUUGACUUGUACACAGUGGUUGAACGUUGUUUUUGUGCAAUAAAAACUUAGACAUUUGCAUGCAAUGCCAAAGACGACCUAAGACUUAAAAGUCCUAUAAUAUUUCUAACUAUCAUUUUUUCUGGUCCAAAAUUAACCCUUUGAUAAAUCAUAACAUAUUUACAACUUGGAUACAAAUUAACAAAUUGAAUUUAUAUUAUAAGUUAAAUUUUAUUUUUUUGGUGCUAAAACAAAAUUUACUUAAAAAAAUAAAUGAUGUAGAAAUAAUUAUAUAUAACAUAAAAAAUGAUAAAAUUUACCUGAGUUUGAAAUAAUUUAAAGUUAAAAUAUUUGUAACAUCGAUUUUUGUUCCUAAAAAGUCCAUACCUAAAAUAUAUAAUUUAAACUCAAAAUAUCCGUUGAAUUAUUAUCUUUGCUCAUUCUAUGCGUAAUAAUGGUUCUAAUAGGGUUUAAAGUACAUUUUUAUUGCUAUAAUUUUGUCUUUUUAAUGACUUCGAUUUAGUAAGGCGUGGACAAGAAAACUACAACAUUGGCAUUAAUAAGUUAAUGAGAUUGAUAAAAUAUUAAAAUCUCACUCUUCAAAAUUAAAAUUAGCAAAAAAAGAAAGAGGUAAGGCAAAUUAAGUGUGAAUUUAACAACUUAUUUCUAAUACUAACAAUAAAUAAUUUAUGCAUCAUCACUAACAGCUUUAAAUAAUACAUUAUUAUCCCUUGCUUUUGUAUGUUGGAAAAAAUUGACCAAAAAGACUUAACUGAAGUGGUGGAACAGCAUUUUGAUGGAGUCUUGAUUUGGCAAAAUGACUUAGAAAUUGCAUGCAUUGCCAAUCACUCAUAAAUAAGUUGUAUGCCAAACACAAUCCUCCUUCACACCCACCCAACAUGAACACUCUUCAUUCCCUUAUUUCUUCACUCUCUCUCUUCUCAUGCUUCCUUCCUCUUCUCUUGUCUUUUUCACCUCCUCAAACUCAUCUCCCAAUGCAAUGCCCUGAUGACCAGAGAUCUCCUCUGCUGCAAUUGCAACAUCAUCUUUACUAUGCCCCUCAUUUUACUUUCUCUUCCAAAUUUGAGCUUUGGGAUCCCUACACUCAUUGCUGCUCUUGGAAAGGAGUCUCUUGUGAUGCUCUUGGUUAUGUCGUUGGCGUUGAUCUUAGUAAUAGAAACCUUUCCGGCAGUUUUCACUCCAUUUUCCGUCUCCGUCAUCUUCAACGCUUGAAUCUUUCUGGAAACUACUUUAAUACCACUUUGCUUUCUUAUGGGUUUCACAAACUCCAAAAUCUAACCCAUCUCAAUCUUUCAAGCUCAUGUUUCCAUGGCCAAAUUCCAGUGGAUAUCUCAUACUUAACGAGGUUAGUCUCUCUUGAUCUAUCUAAUCAAGAUUCUUGUUAUUCGCGAUACUACAUCAUUCUUGACCCAUAUAGAGGCGUCCGCAACUACUAUGAUCCAUUGCCUUACGAACUUCAACAGCCUCUUAAAUUAGAGAAACCAAACUUCAAGACAUUAAUCAAGAAUUUGAGGUUUCUCACAGAGCUUUAUUUGGAUGGGGUAAACAUUUCAACUCAAAGUGCUAAAUGGUGUGAAACCACAUCUCUUGUACUUUCCAACCUGCGUGUGUUGAGUCUGUCACACUGUGUUUUGAAAGGUCCAUUAUGUUCUUCACUCUCAAGACUCUCUUUUCUUUCCAACCUUAUCCUUGAUUGGAACCCAAUCUCUUAUUUACCUCCCAAUUUCUUGGAAAUUUCGUCUCAUUUGGUUUCUCUCAGUUUAAUGGGUUGCAAUUUGAGUGGCCAUUUUCCAACUGAAAUUCUCUUAUCGCCAAAAAUUCAAAGCAUUGACAUUUCAGCUAAUUACCAACUUAUGGGUCAGUUGCCAGAAUUUCCAGCAAACAAUGCUUUACAGAUUUUGUCACUUUUUUAUACAAAUUUCAGUGGAAAACUACCUGAGUCGAUUGGUAAUCUUAAGUUCCUGACAAACUUAGAGCUUUCUUAUUGUAAUUUUGCUGGACCCAUUCCAUCGUCAAUUGCAAAUCUUAGUCAACUGGUGAACUUGGAUCUAAGAUUAAAUGUUAUGGUUUCAUUAACGGUCACAUCUUUGUUUAUAUUUCUGUUAAGACUGUUAAAAUAAUACUUAGUUAAACGCUGCGUUUCAUUUAAGUGGCUUAGUGAUACGGUGAGUUUUACUUAGUCAAAACGGAUGCGUUUUGUCUAUUGCAGUAUAGCGGUUAUGGUUGUCCAUAUAUGAUUUGUGACCGAAAAGGAAAGGCAGGCAAUUUUGAAUCCUGUUUUCAGUCUCUAUUUCUUCCUACUGUUUUUUUUCUCUCUGAAUUUUCUCUCUUAUUCUCAUUUCAAUCCCGAUCUCAAUUUAUUCUUCAACAUUAAACAAGCUUUCUGGAUCAAUACAUUCUUCUUUAUUUACUCUUCCAUCGUUGAAGAUCUUGAAUCUUGGAGACAAUCAAUUGGUUGGGAAAAUUGAUGAGUUCCCCAAUGCAUCUUCUUCUUUGAUUGAAGUACUAUAUAUAGGCAAUAAUUAUUUAACAGGACCAAUCCCAAAGUCAAUCCUUCAACUUCCAAGGCUUGAAUGGCUUUAUAUCAAAAGCAAUAGCUUCAGUUCCAUGAAGCUUGACAUGUUUGUCCAACUUAAGAACUUAAAGCGUCUCUACUUAUCCAACGUAAGCUUGUUAAUUGAAAGCGACAACAGAAGUCUUACUUUUCCCCAAUUAGAGAGCCUAGGGCUAAGGUCAUGCAACCUUACUGAAUUUCCAGAAUUCAUUAAAAGGCAACACAAGUUGGUUCACUUAGAUCUUUCUAAUAACCAUACCCAUGGUUUUGUGCCCAAUUGGUUGUGGAAGAGCAGUCUUUCAUGGGUGGACCUUUCUUUCAAUGUGAUUGAUUUUCCAAAACAGCUUCCCUUAAAUGAUGCAAACUUCUCAUAUGUUGGCAGACUUGGAUUUGAGAUCCUGCAACAUAAGUGCGUUUCCAGAGUUCAUCAAAACACAAGACAAGUUGGUUGACUUAGAUCUUUCUAACAAUCAUAUCCAUGGUGUUGUGCCUCAUUGGUUCUGGAAGAGCAGCCUUUCAAGGGUAAACCUUUCUUUCAAUGUGAUUGAUUUUCCAAAACAGCUUCCCUUAAAUGAUGCAAACUUCUUAUUUCCAAUGUUGACAAGAUUGGAUUUGAGAUCCUGUAAUAUAAGUGCGUUUCCAGAGUUCUUAAAGAGUCAAAAAAAAUUUAGAAGAAUUCGACGCAUCUUAUAAAAAUUUGAGUGGCCCAAUUUCAAAUUGGUUAUGCAAUAUGAGUCUACUUUACACUUUCGAUGCAUCUUGUAACAAUUUGAGUGGCUCAAUUUCAAAUUGCUUGGUCAAUAUGAGUCAACUUGACACUUUCGAUGUAUCUUAUAACAAUUUGAGUGGCCCAAUUCCAAAUUGCUGGGGCAAUAUGAGUGCUCUGAUUUUGUUGCGUUUGCAAGGAAAUAACUUCAGUGGAAUGUUACCAAAAUUUUCAACAGCAACCCAACUGCAAUUUCUGAAAGUUAGUGAGAAUAGACUGGAAGGGAAGUUGCCUAGAUCAUUAGCUGAAUGCACUCAGCUUGAAGUUUUGGACGUGGGAAAGAACAAGAUGAAUGAUACAUUCCCUUUUUGGUUGGAGAAAUUGCCCUACUUGAGGGUUCUAAUAUUGCGGGAAAACAGAUUUUAUGGUCAAAUUAAACAUUUCAAACAUAAAUCUGUUUUCCCAACUUUGGAUGUCUGGGACAUUGCUUCAAACCAGUUUUCUGGUGAACUAUCCAUUGAUUUCCUUCAACCCACUCGACUAAGGUCACUCAAAAUAGGUGGGAAUAAAUUGGAAGGGAAGCUGUCGAGAUCAUUAGCCAAUUGCACAGCACUUGAGGUUCUGGACCUCGGAAAUAAUAUGGUUCAUGAUACAUUCCCAUUUUGGUUAGAGAAGCUACCUUCCUUGAAGGUUCUCGUUUUGCGAGCAAACAGAUUCUACGGCACAAUUUCAAAAAUCGACACGGAAUGUGGGUUUCCAAAGCUACGCAUAUUGGACAUUGCUUCCAACCAUUUUUCAGGUGACUUGUCCAUUGAAUUUUUGCAGAGUUUGAAGGCAAUGGCGAAGAUGACUAAUGACGAAAAGGCUAAGCGGGUUUACAUUGGGGACGUCUAUUAUAAAGACUCUGUGACAAUUGUUAACAGGGGGGUUGAACUAUUUUACCAAAAAAUCUGAACUGUUCUUACUUGUCUUGACCUUUCCAACAAUAGUUUCCAUGGGAGAAUACCAGAAGAGAUACAAAUGCUGAGGUCACUCAGAGUGAUGAACUUAUCCAACAAUGGCUUUUCUGGUGAAAUCCCAUUAGCACUUGAAAAUCUAAAAGAUCUUGAAUCUUUGGAUCUCUCACAGAAUGAGCUGUCAGGGAAGAUUCCUGCACAACUUACAAGUUUAACUUUCUUAGCAGCAUUGAACUUGUCUUACAACCAACUCGAAGGGAUUAUACCGCAAAGCAACCAAUUCAUUACAUUUACAAAUGAUUUUUACCGUGGGAACCCAAAAUUGUGUGGGCUGCCAUUGUCAAGGAAAUGCAAUGAAGUUGGUCUUCCAAUGCCACCACCUCCAGGGGAAGAUGAAGAUUCAUGGUUAUAUGCUGUGUCUACUUGGAAAAUUGCGUUGAUAGGUUAUGCUAGUGGAUUAGUGGUUGGGCUAUGUAUUGGAUAUACAGUGCUGAAUGAGUUGGGAAACAAAUGGGUUAACAAGUUCAAAAAGUGUGGUAAAAGAAAUAGAAGAAGAUGUAGGUGACUCCAUCAGAAUUCUUGCUUCAAAAUUAGCUGGUAAGCGUUUGUCUUUCUAAUUUGAACAGAUAGUUGUUGAUUUAUAUAUAUAGGUUUUCAUAACCUCAUUUUUUUGCUGUCUUUACUAAGUUCACUGUCAUAUCGUACUUGUAAUUUGAUGUUACCAUUGAGCAAUGCAGGAGGUACUU